rnacentral:sRNA from 1 species
GAUAACUGGAUGGUUUCCAUACAAAGCGAGUUAUCUAGCAUGGGUCUAAAAUAUUUGUUUGACGAAACUUGUUCAAAUCAUUGUAAAACCUACAAGAUAAUUGAGUGUAGAAUAUUAGAUAUUUAUAAACAAAGUUUGAUGUCAUCUCUUUCGACAUCUCCGAAGAGUAUGUUAUAUCGACACCUUGUGGAUAAUUUUUGUUUGCAAACUUAUCUUAGGAGACCGAUUAAUUAUACUUCAAAACAAUUUAUAAGUAUUUUUCUUCACACUCUUUAAAUAUUGAAAUAGGUCGACACAACAAGGUGCCAAGAAAUGAAAGAUUUUGCAAUCAUUGUAAUAAAAAAGAUUUAGAAGAUGAGUUCCACUUUAUACUCAUAUGUCCUUUUUACGCUGAAUUACGAAAGAAAUAUAUAAAGAGUUUUUAUUACAAAAAACCAAGUGUUUUUAAGCUAACUAAACUUUUAAGUGUUAACAAUACAAAGGAACUCAAUGAUUUAGGAAAAUAUUUAUCUAGCGCUUCCAAAAUGAGAGCGCAGCAUUGUAAUAAUACUACAGUUUAAGCUACUUAUACAUUUAUGUUCAUUCAUAUCUUAGAUAUGUACAUGAUUAUAUUGUCUUAAUAUGUCCACUCACUUACUGCACAUUGCACAUUUGUAUAUAAUUUUAUAUGUAUUAUAAUUUGUAUUCCGAUGAGUUGUAAAGCUCAAGGAUAAUAAAUUGAAUUGAAUUG